rnacentral:rRNA from 1 species
ACAUCGACCUGGUGGCUUGCUACUUCGAUGUCGUCUCUUCCUAUCCUGGGUCUGCAGCAGGACCCAAGGGUGGGGUUGUUCGCCCAUUAAAAGGGAUCGUGAGAUGGGUUUAGACCGUCGUGAGACAGGUUUGUUGCUUGGCGGUAGAAGCGUGUAAGAUGUCUGAUGGAAGGGGUCCUUCAGUACGAGAGGAACGAGGACUCGGGGCCACUGGUCUACCAGUUGUCUGACAAGGCAAUGCUGGGUAGCUACGCCCUAAUGGAUAAGAGCUGAAAGCAUCUAAGCUCGAAGCCACCCCAAAGACUAGACAUCUCAGGGCACUCGUAAAAGACGAGUUUGAUAGACUGCGGAUGUACGCACGAAGGUUCGCCGACGUGUUCAGUCCAGCAGCACUAAUCGCCCG